ensembl:lncRNA
AUUGAGGGAUGAAAGUAGAAGGGUACAAGCUGUGCAUGACUCAGAAUUUAGUCAGAGGAAUGAGGUGAGGGCUGGGGUAGUACUAGGAGGUUCCCAGGUGGUGGAUGGUUCUAGAAGAGAGGAUAGGAUGAGGGUGGGUGCAGGAUGUAGGCUUUGGCCAGAAAGGGAAGAACCUGUGUUCAGGCAUCCUUGAGCACUGGGCCUGGACACUCCCAGCCAGGCUGUCCUGGGACUGUGUCAGAAGAAGCCUGUGCCUGGAGGGAAGCCAAUGAAAGGGUUGACACCAGGGACCCACCAUCCACCAACAGACUGAGGUGCUUAUGAGCUGGUCUCUACAUCGCCCAGUUUACAGACAGAGCAUUCCAGUCACCGUGUCUGGAACCAAGCCUGCAGGAUCUCUGAGGUGUGCCUGUACUCAAGUCUACUUCAAAGUCAGCUGAGCUAUUGAAUCUCUUAGAUCUUAUUUAAUGCCUUCAUAAAUAAGUGCAUAUUGUGCUUGUGUAGCUGGGCUUCCCAGGUGGUGCAAGUGGUAAAGAACCCACUUGCCAAUGCAGGAGACAUAAGAGAUGCAGGUUCGGGCCCUGGGUCAGGAAGAUUCCCUGGAAGAGGGCAUGGCAGUCCACUCCAAUAUUCUUUUCUGGAGAAUACCAUGGACAGAGGAGCCUGGUGGUCUAUGGUUCAUAGGGUUGCAAAGAGUCACACAUGACUGAAGCAAAUUAGGAGGCAUGCAGGUGUUUUUGUAGCCAGGCUCUAGGAUGGUCCUUUAGGAUCCUCCCCAACCCCGCUUAUCAGCUAUUCAUGCCCUGGCUAGUCCUCUCCCAUGAUUGUGAGCUGAACCUAAUGACUUGCUUCUAAUGAACAGAAUAUGGUAAGAGUGAGAGGGUGCAGCUUAUAAGAUGAGGUUAUCAGAGAUGGUGAUUUCCACCUUAGUCCCUGUCCCUCUCACUUACUCACUCUCAUGAAGCAGCUACCAUGUUGUGAGCUGCUCUACAGGAAAGAACGAAGAACCAUCUCAGGUCAACAGUCACUGAGGAACUAAAGCUUUCAGUUUGACCUCCCAUGAGAAACCAAAUCCUGCCUACACCCACGAGUGAGCUUUGGAAGCAGACCCACCCCCAGUUGAUCUGAAGAUGACUGCCAUCCUGCCCAGCUCCUAGACUGCAGCCUUGUGAGACAUCCUGAACCAGAAGACUCAGCUAACCAUGCCCAGAUUCCAGACCCACAGAAACAUGAGAAAAGAGAUGUCUGUUGUUUUCAUAUGUAUUUGAUUCUCAGUAAAAGAUAAAAAAUGCAGUUAUCUACCAUCUGGCUGUGUAUCUAUUAUCUAUCAACUCUCCAUUGAUUGAUAACUAUCUCUCAGUAUAAUUCAUUUCCUUUAAGGAGGGGUCAUAGACUUCACCAAUCUGCCAAGUGGUUCAUGCCACCCAGAUGUUAAGAUCACC